CAGCAGCCGCGGUAAUACGUAGGUGGCAAGCGUUGUCCGGAUUUAUUGGGCGUAAAGCGAGCGCAGGCGGUUUCUUAAGUCUGAUGUGAAAGCCCCCGGCUCAACCGGGGAGGGUCAUUGGAAACUGGGAGACUUGAGUGCAGAAGAGGAGAGUGGAAUUCCAUGUGUAGCGGUGAAAUGCGUAGAUAUAUGGAGGAACACCAGUGGCGAAGGCGGCUCUCUGGUCUGUAACUGACGCUGAGGCUCGAAAGCGUGGGGAGCGAACAGGAUUAGAUACCCCCGUAGUCCCUGUCUCUUAUAC
rnacentral:rRNA from 1 species